CUUAAAUAAUGAUUUGGGAAUAUACGAACAGGUGAAUGAUUCUGCUACUAUCGCUACUAGUAGUCCAUACAAUGAAGGCAUCAAUACUGACUCCUCUACUAGUGUCAAAAAAAACGAGAUAAUAAAUGACGUUAACAAUUUUAAAAUAUACGAAGAAAAGGACUUUAUAGAUAUUAAUUAUGUAAGGACGCCUCUUAAUACUUACCUAACAAAAAAACACAUUUACGAAUAUAAACAUUUUUUAAAUAUUUUUUUAGAAUAUAUAAAUAUCUUAACUGCCAGUUCAAAUAAUAUGGCUUUUUUACCUCCUAAAUAUAUUAGAGAAAUAUAUUAUUUUUAUUCUUUACUGUUGUUUAAGAAAGCGAAAACUCGCUAUUACUAUUAUUGCUAUAAUGACAACCAUAGUAAUAAUAAUAAUAGUAGUAGUAAUAGUAAUAGUAGUAAUAGUAGUAACUACUUAAACAGUAGAAACGAACAGAAACCAUAUGACAACACAAAUGCUUUCAGUACAAGCAAAACUGAAGAUACCGAACCGAUGACAAAACUUAUGUUAUUUGAAAACACAAGUAAUUAUACAAAUAACAUUAUAAACGAUAAUAUUAAAUUAAAUGAUAAAAAUGAAAAAAGUGAAGUAAAUAAAAGCAUAAAACAAAAUAUUUUGGAUGAAUUUUUAAAGUGUUCCAACAAUUGUAAUAAAAAAAAUAAGAUGUUAAGUUUUCAUUUUUUUUUGGAAAAAUUAUUUAUUAUAAGUAACACUGAUACUGACAUAUUUAAUGUUGUAAUAAAUAACGACAAAAAAAUAAGGUAUAUGGUUAAAGAGUUUGUGACAGCAAAUAUAAACAAUUUAGGAAUGGAUAAGUGUGAAUGUGAUGGUGAUAGUAAUGGUGCCAAUUGUAGCAAUAAUGAUGGUAGAAGCAGUAGCACCAGUAACGGUAGUAGCACCAAUAGUGAUAGUAGCAGCAGUACCAACCGUAUCAAUGCGACAAAUCAGAAUUUCGAUUUUACGGAAAAACAAAAAGAACGUAUAAACCAUAAAGCAGCAUGUAACUACGACGUAUCGGAUAUAAUAGACUACGAUGAUAUGUGUUACUCAUCUUGUAGAACGUAUUCACUCGAACUCGAUGAUAUUUCUGUGCUUAGUUAUUUAUAUUUAAAUUAUGACUUCCAACAGAACUUAAUUUUUGUAGAGAAUUAUAUAAAUAAAAGAUUGUUUAAAUAUAAUUAUAGACGAAUAAAUACAUAUUUUUUAAAAAUAUUAUUAUAUUACAUUAAUUUAUUGUUUUUAAAAAUAAAAAAUAUAUAUUGUGAUAAUUGUAUUUAUACUAUAAAAAAACAAAGAUAUUUAAAUCCGACAUCUAAUGACUGUUCUAGUAAUACAUUUUUUUUUUUGUUUUUUAAAAUAUUUGAUAUUUUUAAUAUUACCAAAAAUACGUUAAACGAAAUAUGUACAAAUUAUUUUCAUGGGAAUAAAAAUUAUAGUUUAUAUAUUGAUAUGUUGACCCGGAACAAAGUAAGAGAGGAGAGUUUCAUUAGUAGUAGUAACGUCAAUAGUGGUAGUAACGUCAAUAGUGGUAGUAACGGCAAUAGUGGUAGUAACGACAAUAGUGGUAGUAACAACAAUAGUGGUAGUAACGGUAUUGGUAGUAGUAACGGCAGCAGUAACAGUAGAAAUCACAAAUGCAGUGACAAACACGAUGAAAUUACUUUCCUCAAAUUGGUGGAAAUUUUUUUAUAUCCAUCAAAAGAUUGCUCUUAUUUCGAAGUACUAACCGUUUGCUAUGAAUUCAUAAUUAACAUAAAAAACAAAACAAAAAAAAAAGUCCAAAAAAAAAGCCAAAACAAGCUGUAUGAAUUUAUCAAGUAUAUUAUAACAAAUAAGUAUAAUAUUAAUAAUAAGUAUAAUAGAACAGUAUAUGCUUUUCCAAUCAUUUUAAUACAUUUAACACUACUAUUGUAUCAUACAUACAAUCAGUGCUGUACUUAUGAACUAAGAAAGGUUGCACAAUACUUUAUGGAUUUUAUAUUUUUCUUUAUAGAAAAUAUAAAAAAUAAUUUAAUCAUAUUGCAAAUAGUGGAAUCUUACGUGUCUGUGCACGUCCAUGUGCAUGUGCCUGUUUAUGACGCCAAUAAAUCCAUUCAGACUAACCAUGCUUACAUUAUCAAUAAAAAUGAUAUCUCUAAUAAGUAUAACAUCUCCCAGGACAAUGACGCGAAACAAAAAAAACAACUUUUUUAUUUAAUAAAAAUAUAUUUUCGAAAGUUACUUUCUCUACUCUACUUAUACACAAAUGAAUUAAUAUUUUAUACGAUUCAGAACAAUAUUAAUCAAGAAAUAAAUCAUAAAGCUUAUUAUAGAAAGAACAUAAACAAGAAUUCUAAUUUUUUAAACGUUGAGCUUAUUUGUAAUUAUGAUGAAUGUGUUAAUAAUAAUAUAACCGUAAGUGACUUUUGUUUUUAUUGGGAUUAUUCAGUAGUAUCUAUAAGUCAUGAUAAGAGUGAUUUAUAUGUAGGUAGAUGUUUUAAAAAUUAUUUAUUGUUGUUGGUAGAUAUUAUAAAAGAAUGUAUUCAAAAGGGAGGGGAAAAUAAAGAUAGUAUGGUACAGUUUGGUCAUAAUAAAACGGUUAAUUCUGUUGGUAUCAGUACUAAUAAUAUUAUAUCCACAAAAGAAAUGAUAUUAUUAAACAAUAAACAAAAUGAACGUCUGUCAAACGAAAAAGAGAAUUAUAAUUUUUAUGAAAACAUGAGCAAAUGGUUUUGCAUCUCUAACUUGAAAUCGGAAUAUGAAAAAGGCGUACAUAGUAGUAGUAACACUUUUGCUCAUGGAGAUACCGAUGGAGACACCAAUGGAGAUACCGAUGGAGACACCGAUGGAGAUACCGAUGGAGACACCGAUGGAGAUACCGAUGGAGACACCGAUGGAGAUACCAAUGGCGACCCCAAUGGCGACCCCAAUGGCGACCCCAAUGGCAAUAAAUACAUAAUCGAAGACUUUAUGAGUUUUGUACACAACAAAGUACACUAUAGUAUGUCUAAACAACCAUGCGAUAAAAGAUAUCUAAAAAAUGGUAUGCGAAAUAACUUAAAAAAAAUAAAACUAUUUUUAAAUAUAUACGAAAAUGCAGAUGCAUAUAUUAAUGAAAAAAAGUAUGAAUAUUUUCAUGUGGAUAAAAUAAACUUAAGUAUAGAAAAAUAUACAUAUAAAGAGAAGUGGAAUUAUAUACAUAAAUUAGAAAAGGUAUUAAAGCAGUAUCAGCACAUGAUAAAAUUAAUGUGUGAAAUUCUAAACGAUUCGAAAAAAGUAGAUAGAAGCAAUAACAACUUAAAAGCGUUUAUAGACUUAUGGUGGAAUAAUAGAUAUACAUUAGAGCAACAUUUAAAAUUAUUAAAUUUGGAAAUCUCAAACAGUUUGGGUUUAUCCAUUUGUAAAUUAAUAUCGGCACCUUUAAUUUCAUUGAAUGUAAAAAAACGGUUUGAUCUAUUAACUUCAGAGAAUAGCGACAUUAAUAACGUCAACUACGACAGCAAAAACUGUUACAACUUUUGUGAUGAAGAUCCACCAAAUUACGUAUACAACAUGAUAUCAUUAGUACAUAAUCAAAAAAUGUAUCUUAAAACAAAUUUUGAUAUUUUUGUCAUUUUAUAUUAUUAUUCUAAUAUGCUUGAUAUUAUUUCUUGGUUUAAUAAAUGGAAACACGUUUUACUUCCUGUGAUUUACUGGGAUAAUAUGAAUAUAAUAAAUAUGGUUUUACAUUUAACUGUAUUUUCUAUUGUUAUAAAAAAUAGCAAUAUUAAAAUUACCAAUGUAAAAAAAAAGUAUAUAAUAACACCAUAUUAUACUGUUAAUUCUUUGGAGAAAGAUAGUAUUAAUAAUGAACAUGACUCUUCUUUUAAAAACAUAUUAGAACGGCAAAAUAAUAUACAUGACAAAAAAUCAAAAAGGCGCAAAAGUUUUAAUGCACAACUGAUAAAAAAUGAUAAAACAAUAAUGACUUCGUAUCUACCACUCAGUAAUAAAGACAUAGAGACAAUAUUAGUGAAUGAGAACAAACAGACGCGAGAAGUAUCAUAUCAUACACAAGACCAUGCAAAGGAGCGAACAAAAAAGAGAAGUAUCAGUUGGACACCUUUCGUAUCGGGUGAUUCACAAUUAAAUUAUUCAGAUUGUAAAAAUAAACAUAAGACUAUUCACAAAUACAACAAAUUUGAUAAUCAUAAUAAAACAAAAGAUAAUGUUCCAUUGGAUAACAAAUCAGAAUAUGGUAUUUUGAUACAAAAUGAAAAUGUAGUGCCUACUUGUAUACAUACAACUACUGUUAAUACCAUUGCCAGUUCUAACAAUAGUAAUAAAAAAAGUAGACGAAAAACACUUAAUAUAAUAAACCAUAAUUUAAAUAACUUCGAUAGUAAAAAUGUAAAAAAAAAUGAAUUGUCAGUGCAUGAUACAAUUAGCAAAAAUAUAGAACAUAGUAUUUUUUUACCAAAUAAAAAAAAAAUCGACUCUACAUUGUAUGAGUUCCUAAGUCCAAAGAAAAAAUCUCUUUUCGAAUGGUCUAACAACAAAGAUGAAAAUAAAAAUGAGCAAACAAAAAGUAAAAGAAGUACUGUAAGUUGUACGACAAACAUCGAUGAUGUUAUAAGAAGUGACAAACUCACAGUUGGAAUAACUGCGAAUGCACGCGCGAGUGUAUAUGCAGGUGCAUACACAGGUUCUCAUCGAACCAGCACAUGCAGCGACAUGCACAACAAACACAACACACACAACAAACACAACACACACAAAACAUACGAAAAUAACAACUAUUUAAAAUAUUUGGAUUUAAAAAAACAAUGCUACCACGGGGAGUUGCGAUUUUCUUUUUUAAAAUUAAGAAUGUAUUUAUUUAACAUAAUGAUUGAUAUAUUCGAAUGGGAGGAAGUGAAUUUUAAACAUAUGUUUGUCAUUUUUAAUAAUAUUACUAAUUCGUUUAUUACUCAGAUACUUAAGUGCGAACUUAUAGAAGAUGAUAAUGAUAAAGAAAAAUAUAUAUAUGUAAGAAAUAUUGAACAAAAAAAUAUAAGGAAAAAUCCUAUUAUUGUAUAUAUUCAUGGAAACUUAAAUAGAUUGCCUUUUGAAAACUUUGAUGCAUUAAAAAGCUCUUAUAUAGUGAGAGGUAUUAAUAAAACAGUCACUAAAUUUUUAUAUGAACGGUUGCUAAAAAAAAUAAAAAAGGAGGAGACAAAUGAAUUAAUGGAAGAUGUAGAUGAAUUACUAAAUGAAACAAACUUAAUGGAAAGCUUACCUGAUGGACAAGGAAAAAGUCAUAAUGAGCAGUAUAACGAAUUUACAACUGUUGAUAGAAAAAAUGAUGAAUAUUAUAAAAAACAAAACAUAAACACUGGAGAAAGCACAUAUAUAAACAUAAUAGAAAGAUCAAGCACAAAUUCCAAAACAAAAACCAAUAUGUAUGAUAAAAUAGACCAACUAAAUGACUCUGAACCAGUAGAAGAGAAAAAAAAAAGAAAAAGAGCAAGUGUUCAUAACACAUCCGAAGAAUACUAUUCUUUUUUAAAUAAAAACCUGAAAGAUAGUGAUAAAAUAAAUUUAAAAGAAAAACAAACUAUGUGGGUUGACACACUAAAUAAAGAUACGAAUAGUUAUAAUAGCAAUUGCAAUCGUGAUCAAACAGAUGCCAAUAUUGAAAAACACCCAAAAGUGGAUUUAAGUGAUAGCUACACUUUUAAUAAUAAAGUUAAGAAGACACUUGGUACUUAUCACGAUGUUAAUGUAACCCUUGAUGCAAAGAAUAAAAAAAAAACUGAUAGCACGAAGUACUCUUUUUUAGAUUCUACUAAAUAUAUAAACGAACCAAACAUAUAUAAAAAAUAUAAUUUUAUUAUUACCGAUGAUAAACAUCAGGUACAGAAUUUGUCUAACACUGUGAAUGAAAGAAGUUGCUGUAAAAUUGGUAAUGCCACUGCUACUACCACUGCUACUGCCACUACUACUACCACUGCCACUGCCACUGCCACUGCCACUGCCACUGCCACUGCCACUGCCACUGCCACUGCUACUACUACUACUACUACUACUACUACUAUCGACAACAGUGCCAAUAAAAAAAAGCACUCAAGAAAAAGCACCUUCAUCGAACAAUCCUUUUUAAAUCCCUUUAGUAAAAAAAAAACAAACUCUAACGAGCAAAAUGUAUUAGAUAAAAAAAAAGAAAGAAAAAAAAAAAACACGUACGAAAAUAAUCUACAAGUAUAUGAUAAAAAUAUAUCAUUUUUAAAUUGUCGUGAAGAAAAAGCUAGCUAUAAAAAUAAAAAUAAAAAUACACGUUCUUCUGCUACAGUUUUUACAAACAAUAAUAAAAAAAGGAAUUCUACUUGUGUACCAUCUGUUAAUUCGUCUCCCGCUUCUUCCCACUCCCCUUCUUCAUCUAGUUAUACAUAUUCUUCUGAUUCUUCAGUCGAAUUAGUGCAAAACGAAAAUGAGCUAAGAACAAUUUUUAUGAAUGCUAGGAAAUCAAUGAAUAUGCAUAACAUCAUGGGUUACUGUGAUGAUAGCGACGAAUCUGUAAAGUCAGACACAUACACUUGUGGUAAAUUCAGAAAACAUAAGAAACAAAGUAUUAGCCAAUCGGAAACGUAUUCGAAUGGAAAAAAUAAGUUUUUUGUAACGUCUUUAGUAAAUUUUGCAAAAAAAUGUGAAGACCACAUAUCUGAGCAUGAACAACAACACGAAUAUGAACACAAAGACAAAGACAAAGACAAAGAAAAAGAUGGUAGUCGAAAGAGAAGGAGCUAUUCAGCUGAGCCUGAACAAAAUUCAGAAAUGUCAAAAAUUAAAAACAUAAAAUAUGUUCCUUAUUAUAUUAAAAGUAAGAGAUUAAUCGAUCCUAAAAAAAGUAAAAUUUUUUUUGUUAUUAAUCCUAAUGGAGAUUUAAAAAGAGCAGAAGACGCAACUUAUCCUUUUAUAUUUUUUAAAAAUAAAAAAGAGUAUAAACACAAAAAUUGGAAUGGUUAUUUCGGUAAAGUACCAUGUGAGCAAACGUUACUAAAACAUUUAUGUAACGAUGAUUUAUAUAUUUAUUGUGGACAUCAAGGGGGGGAACAGUAUAUAAAAAAAAACAUGAUACAAAAUGCCACUAUAAAUUCUUAUACUGAUGAGCAAUGUGAAUCUGGUACAAAAAUUGGACAAAGUCGUAAAAGUAGAGUAUAUAUAGAUGUAACUCACGAACAGAGUAAUGCAAUUGACGUACAUGGUAACGUAACUGACGUGCAUAGUACCCAAUUUAAUAAUAAACUAAAACCAAAUCGCAUUAUAUUUUUUAAAAAUAAAAAAGAGUAUAAACAUAAAAAUUGGAAUGGCUAUUUCGGUAAAGUACCAUGUGAACAAACGUUACUAAAACAUUUAUGUAAC
rnacentral:lncRNA from 1 species